rnacentral:rRNA from 1 species
AUUGAACGCUGGCGGCAGGCCUAACACAUGCAAGUCGAACGAUUCGCGGACGGGUGAGACGUGUAUGGAAAACGGCCCGAUGGAGGGGUAUCACUACGGGACACGGUCGCUAAUACCGUAUACUACACGGUGUGCCCAGAUUGGAUUGGCUUGUUGGUGGGGUAACGGCUAACCAAGGCAACGAUCCCUAGCUGAGCUGACAGGAUGACCGGCCAAACUGGAACUGAGACACGGCCCAGACUCCUACGGGAGGCAGCAGUAGGGAAUCUUGCUCAAUGGACGCAAGCCUGAUGCAGCCAUGCCGCGUGUAUGAAGAAGGUCUUCGGGUUGUAAAGUUCUUUCAGCUGGGAGGCGUUAUCGACAGAAGAAGCCACGGCUAACUCCGUGCCAGCAGCCGCGGUAAUAC